rnacentral:rRNA from 1 species
UACGAAGGGGGCUAGCGUUGCUCGGAAUCACUGGGCGUAAAGGGCGCGUAGGCGGCGUCUUAAGUCGGGGGUGAAAGCCUGUGGCUCAACCACAGAAUGGCCUUCGAUACUGGGAUGCUUGAGUCUGGUAGAGGUUGGUGGAACUGCGAGUGUAGAGGUGAAAUUCGUAGAUAUUCGCAAGAACACCAGUGGCGAAGGCGGCUCACUGGCCCGAUACUGACGCUGAGGCACGAAAGCGUGGGGAGCAAACAGG